GUUGUGCACAUGUACCCUAGAACUUAAAGUAUAAUUAAAAAAAAAAAGACUUAAUAUGCUAAUACUUAAAAUAUGAGGAAACUCUGUUAGGUUCCUAGACAUUGCUCCAGCUGAAUAGUGCCUUCUGAUCAGGAGUCUGAGUUCCAGCCUCAUUUGGCUACUCCUCUACCCUUUUAAGUUUUAAUUUUCUCAACUUCUUCCCUUUGUUUCAUCAGCACUAGUUGACACUGCAACUUGCUUUGACCAAUAGCAUGGACAGAAAUGAGACCUACCAACUUUAUAUUGCUCUCUUCGAGGUCUGUGCCACCACGUAAGAAGUAUAACUAUGCUGCUUCUAGUGAAGUUGAGCCUCACCCAGAUGUCUCAGCUACCAUAACUAAGGCACUAGACAUGUGGGUGAGCCAUUUGGAUUUUCCAUCCUCAUGCCCAGCUGAACUCCCAGGGCAAUGGAGCUGCAUAAAUUGGACCAUUUGGAAUAGAAGGACAUCCCAGAUGAUUCCAGUCAGCCCAGAAUCAUAAGAAUCCUGAGAAAUAAUAUGUCAUGAUUGUCUUAAGCAACUAAAUGAAAACAUAGUUGGAUACAAAGCAGUAUAUAACUACAAAAGCCUUUUAGUUCAAGAGCUAGUUUAACUUUACAGUAAAUAUUCAGUAGAAAAUCUCUGGUCUGUGGUUUCUGUCUCCUGACUGGAUCUUGACAGAUCCAAACAUAAAUGCUGAAACCAAUAA